rnacentral:rRNA from 1 species
AGAGGGUGCAAGCGUUAAUCGGAAUUACUGGGCGUAAAGGGUGCGUAGGUGGUAUGUUAAGUCAGAUGUGAAAGCCCUGGGCUCAACCUUGGAACUGCAUUUGAAACUAGCAAACUAGAGUAUGGUAGAGGGAAGUGGAAUUUCCGGUGUAGCGGUGAAAUGCGUAGAUAUCGGAAGGAACACCAGUGGCGAAGGCGACUUCCUGGACCAUAACUGACGCUGAGGCACGAAAGCGUGGGGAGCAAACAGGGAUUAGAUACCCUGGUAGUCCACGCUGUAAACGAUGAGAACUAGAUGUUAGGGUGCUUGCACUUUAGUAUCGUAGCUAACGCGUUAAGUUCUCCGCCUGGGGAUACGGCCGCAAGGUUA